GUUGAUUGGGACACGUGAAGCCAAACAGGGGCUGACUGAAACUAGUUAAAAGCCUCCCAAUCACUCAGCUGAGUGUGCAUGUCAGGAGCUGUGCUGUUGGAGAGACUGAACUGUACACACCAUAUCAGGCAUAAGGAAAGAGGCCCUGAGGCAAGCCAGAGCCCGACUGCUGGGACUGGUUAGACCCCCCCCUCUGGAGUAAAAAAGAAGUCCUGGAUUGCCACACCACUAGAUGACCCUGUCGCCUGUCCCACAUCCUCCUCCAACUCAACCUCCUCAUCCACCACUUCAUUCCUGGGGUUGACUCCGCUGGCUGCUGCCUCCAAUCUCCCUGAAGUAUCCACAGGGCUCUUUGCAAUGGAGGAGGGGGUCACCACUUAGGAUGACGUGCAGGUCCUUGAAGCGGCAUGUUUUUGGUGCUGCACAAGAGCAACGAUUGGCUUCUCUUUCCUUCUCAAAAGCUGACCAUACAGAGCAGUAGCAAAUGAAAAAGUACCUAUGUUCCUGGAGCCCAACUCUAUAGCACAGGGAAAAUGAUGGGGGGGCUGGUCAAUUCUCCAUGCAGUUUCCCCCUUCAGCUGAUCAUACUACUCUUGUGGUGCUUGAGCUUCACCUGGAUGGUGUUGCAACACAAUCCUGCUUGUUGUUGCAAUGUAAACAGGUUUUGAUUCAGAUUCACAAUGCCUGUAACAUGAUGGUGUAAGCCUUAACAUGUAGCAGGCAUGCAACAGCUGUGCGGUCAUUCAUCACUUAUACAGUUCUGUUGUGUAACUGCAUGUGAGUGACUCAGGCUGGCUGUUACCAUUGUAUAGGUUUUUGUGAUCAGCACUUCCUUUUCCUUAAAAAUGUCAAAUUAAGCAAUCAACAGCCCACAGAUUGAGAAACUCUGGGAAAGAGUAUAAUAAUCAGUCAGUAUUGUAAGGGGAAACUUCUUGGUCACGUAUGUGCAAUUCCCAUUCUACAUGCACAUAACCAAGGACAAAAUGUGGCGUUCAGUGCUCAAAAAAUGGAAAGUAAAGAAAAUAAAGCUUCUCUUUAAUUGUUUAGCAUUUCCAAAUAAUGAGGAAGGAACGGCCCUAGAGUUCUGUGGGUUCAUGCUAUUAAAAAGAGAUUAUGCUCUCAAUAAACUUUGCCAGCUAUUUGACUCUUCAGAAUGUAGUCAGUUCUGGUUAAUAGUCUGCAACUGUCAUUUUCAUUUGGAUUAUACAUUAUUUAAUCUAAAAUGCAUCCUGCAAAAUGGGCUCUGACUUAAAUAAUUCAGAUAACCAAGAGACAUGGUCUGAAUAAACCAAGACAAGAUAAAUGCUAUCUGCCUGUAAGUAAGAAGGACAGUUCCGCCUCCCCAUGCCCUUCUUUGAGAAGACCAGUGCCUACAAUGUAUAAAGAGAUGUGAAAUAAUGGAGUGAAGCUGCCAACCAGACUAUUUGAACACCUUUCAAAAUAAUAUAGAGAAGAUACUGUGUUGCCCUCUCUCCGAGAGGUCAUGAUGAACAUUGUCCCUGAUAUAGACUUUUUGUUCCACUUCCUCUGUUUACCAACAUACUAACUUUUGCCACUAAGCACUAUAGUUUGCAUAAACAUUAAACUUAACACUCUUUCCAAAUAA